rnacentral:rRNA from 1 species
ACGCUGGCGGUAUGCUUAACACAUGCAAGUCGAACGGGAUGCUUAGGCAUCUAGUGGCGGACGGGUGAGUAACGCGUGAGAAUCUGGCUCCAGGUCGGGGAUAACAGUUGGAAACGACUGCUAAUACCGGAUGUGCCGAGAGGUGAAAGAUUUAUUGCCUGGAGAUGAGCUCGCGUCUGAUUAGCUAGUUGGUGGUGUAAGGGACCACCAAGGCAUCGAUCAGUAGCUGGUCUGAGAGGAUGAUCAGCCACACUGGGACUGAGACACGGCCCAGACUCCUACGGGAGGCAGCAGUGGGGAAUUUUCCGCAAUGGGCGAAAGCCUGACGGAGCAAUACCGCGUGAGGGAGGAAGGCUCUUGGGUCGUAAACCUCUUUUCUCAAGGAAGAAGAAAGUGACGGUACUUGAGGAAUAAGCAUCGGCUAACUCCGUGCCAGCAGCCGCGGUAAUACGGAGGAUGCAAGCGUUAUCCGGAAUGAUUGGGCGUAAAGGGUCUGCAGGUGGAACUGAAAGUCUGCUGUUAAAGAGUUUGGCUUAACCAAAUAAAAGCGGUGGAAACUACAGAACUAGAGUGCGGUAGGGGCAAAAGGAAUUCCUGGUGUAGCGGUGAAAUGCGUAGAUAUCAGGAAGAACACCGGUGGCGAAAGCGUUUUGCUAGACCGUAACUGACACUGAGGGACGAAAGCUAGGGGAGCGAAUGGGAUUAGAUACCCCAGUAGUCCUAGCCGUAAACGAUGGAUACUAGGCGUGGCUUGUAUCGACCCGAGCCGUGCCGGAGCUAACGCGUUAAGUAUCCCGCCUGGGGAGUACGCACGCAAGUGUGAAACUCAAAGGAAUUGACGGGGGCCCGCACAAGCGGUGGAGUAUGUGGUUUAAUUCGAUGCAACGCGAAGAACCUUACCAAGACUUGACAUCCUGCGAAUCCUGGUGAAAGCUGGGAGUGCCUUAGGGAGCGCAGAGACAGGUGGUGCAUGGCUGUCGUCAGCUCGUGUCGUGAGAUGUUGGGUUAAGUCCCGCAACGAGCGCAACCCUCGUUUUUAGUUGCCAGCAUUAAGUUGGGCACUCUAGAGAGACUGCCGGUGACAAACCGGAGGAAGGUGAGGAUGACGUCAAGUCAGCAUGCCCCUUACGUCUUGGGCUACACACGUACUACAAUGCUACGGACAGAGGGCAGCGAGCCAGGGAUGGCAAGCGAAUCCAGAAACCGUAGCUCAGUUCAGAUCGAAGGCUGCAACUCGCCUUCGUGAAGGAGGAAUCGCUAGUAAUUGCAGGUCAGCAUACUGCAGUGAAUUCGUUCCCGGGCCUUGUACACACCGCCCGUCACACCAUGGAAGUUGGUCACGCCCGAAGUCAUUACCCCAACCGAAAGGAGGGGGAUGCC